AUUGAACGCUGGCGGCAUGCCUUACACAUGCAAGUCGAGCGCGAAAGGGGGCAACCCCGAGUAGAGCGGCGGACGGGUGAGUAACACAUCGGAACGUGCCCAGUAGUGGGGGACAACCUCGAGAAAUCGAGGCUAAUACCGCAUACGACCCACGGGUGAAAGCGGGGGACCCAAAGGAAACUGAGGGCCUCGCGCUAUUGGAGCGGCCGAUGUCCGAUUAGCUAGUUGGCGGGGUAAAGGCUUACCAAGGCGAUGAUCGGUAGCUGGUCUGAGAGGAUGAUCAGCCACACUGGGACUGAGACACGGCCCAGACUCCUACGGGAGGCAGCAGUGGGGAAUUUUGGACAAUGGGGGCGAACCCUGAUCCAGCCAUUCCGCGUGAGUGAAGAA
rnacentral:rRNA from 1 species